GAUGAACGCUAGCUACAGGCUUAACACAUGCAAGUCGAGGGGAAACGCCAUCGAAGGCUUGCUUUUGAUGGGCGUCGACCGGCGCACGGGUGAGUAACGCGUAUCCAACCUGCCCAUCACUUGGGAAUAACCUUGCGAAAGUAAGACUAAUACCCAAUGAUAUCCCACGAAGGCAUCGGAAUGGGAUUAAAGAUUUAUCGGUGAUGGAUGGGGAUGCGUCUGAUUAGCUUGUUGGCGGGGUAACGGCCCACCAAGGCAACGAUCAGUAGGGGUUCUGAGAGGAAGGUCCCCCACAUUGGAACUGAGACACGGUCCAAACGCCUACGGGAGGCAGCAGUGAGGAAUAUUGGUCAAUGGGCGAGAGCCUGAACCAGCCAAGUAGCGUGCAGGAAGACGGCCCUAUGGGUUGUAAACUGCUUUUAGAAGGGAAUAAAGUGGGUCACGUGUGACUUUUUGCAUGUACCUUAUGAAUAAGGACCGGCUAAUUCCGUG
rnacentral:rRNA from 1 species